rnacentral:rRNA from 1 species
GAUGAACGCUGGCGGCGUGCCUAAUACAUGCAAGUCGAGCGAACGGACGAGAAGCUUGCUUCUCUGAUGUUAGCGGCGGACGGGUGAGUAACACGUGGAUAACCUACCUAUAAGACUAGGAUAACUUCGGGAAACCGGAGCUAAUACCGGAUGAUAUUUUGAACCGCAUGGUUCAAAAGUGAAAGACGGUCUUGCUGUCACUUAUAGAUGGAUCCGCGCUGCAUUAGCUAGUUGGUAAGGUAACGGCUUACCAAGGCAACGAUGCAUAGCCGACCUGAGAGGGUGAUCGGCCACACUGGAACUGAGACACGGUCCAGACUCCUACGGGAGGCAGCAGUAGGGAAUCUUCCGCAAAGGGCGAAAGCCUGACGGAGCAACGCCGCGUGAGUGAUGAAGGUCUUCGGAUCGUAAAACUCUGUUAUUAGGGAAGAACAUAUGUGUAAGUAACUGUGCACAUCUUGACGGUACCUAAUCAGAAAGCCACGGCUAACUACGUG